UUAUUAAUCAGUAGGCGUAAAAGAACUGAUUAAUUUAUUCUAAAUAAAGUGAAAGCAACUCACGUAAAUAAGCGUA
rfam:Clostridium butyricum E4 str. BoNT E BL5262 CLP.Contig65, whole genome shotgun sequence.